rnacentral:tRNA from 1 species
GCCCCGUUAGCUCAGAUGGAUAGAGUAGUGGUCUUCGAAACCAAUGGUCAGGCGUUCGAGUCGCCUACGGGGUACCA